CGCAGCGUAGGGAUGCGGUCAUCCCGCGUGGUUUAUGCCCCCGGUUCGAAUCCUGCCGCUGCAACCA
rnacentral:tRNA from 1 species